UCAGGAUGAAGAUGUUGGUAGUUUUCUACUAAAGUUGUUGAAGGAGCAGUUAGACACCUGAGAUUAUGGUACCUUCAUCAGCUGUUGUAGUGUUGCAUCAUAUCUUUAAAUAGCAUUCUGCAGAUAGCAGAAGUUUCCUGCUAGGAGAAUUGAUAUAGACUAAAGAUUGUGUUUGUGAAAGAGGUCAUGUGCUGUACCAUACACAAUUAUAAAUACUGAUGGCAUAUUUUGUGUAUAAAGUAUGAUGCAUUUUCAAGUGCUAUGUAAUGACAGUGACAAUGUUUAUAUAUGUGCUAUUGAAUCAAGGUUCCUUGUUAUAUUAAACAACAUAGGAAGCUCAAUAAAGUAGAAAUGUAUUCUCUAAAUUGUCAUAUAAGCUGUGUAUUGAGUUUAAUUUCAAUCCAGAUAGGGUUGUGCGUAAUGGAUGCCAUGCAUAAACAAGAUUUCGUCCUCAAAAUGUAGAGCUUCAGGGGCCAAGUGGUAUAAG
rnacentral:lncRNA from 1 species